rnacentral:lncRNA from 1 species
UCUCCGUAGAAGCAGCACGACUCUCUACUAAUAGUGGGACUGGUUGGAGGUACCUGAAUCUGCACGCAAACAUGUGCAGAAGAGUAGCAUGAGUACAUCACAAUAAUACCUAGUAAGUGACAAGCCUAACCUCGGUAAAGUAGUGACGAGGUCAGGUCAGGGCCCCGCUGGAACAUAGUAAUUAAGGAAAAAGAUAUAGUAAUAUAAUGAAAGAUUGGGAAUUUGACAACGAGAAAUAUAGAAAAGGAAACUACACAACAAAUAGGGGUAAACAACAGGGGGCACUCCCGAGG